rnacentral:rRNA from 2 species
UACGGAGGGAGCUAGCGUUGUUCGGAAUUACUGGGCGUAAAGCGCGCGUAGGCGGCUAUUUAAGUCAGGGGUGAAAUCCCGGGGCUCAACCCCGGAACUGCCUUUGAAACUGGAUAGCUAGAAUCUUGGAGAGGUCAGUGGAAUUCCGAGUGUAGAGGUGAAAUUCGUAGAUAUUCGGAAGAACACCAGUGGCGAAGGCGACUGACUGGACAAGUAUUGACGCUGAGGUGCGAAAGCGUGGGGAGCAAACAGG